rnacentral:lncRNA from 10 species
UUGAAGCUCACCGGUUUCAGAAGCCUGCUGGAUCAUUGGAAAUGCAUUGAAAUGAAUUCAUUGUCCAUGUGUUUAUGGAUGACUUCUGAAAGAAAAAUAGCAAUGUUUGACAUAAGGCCAAGAAAUAGACCAAACUUCCUCAGAACGGAAUGUGAUUUUAGCAAGCUUCCAAAAUUCCAGUUGCUCAUUGAAGCUUAGUGAAGAUAGUCAGACCUCGUGGGAUGGAAAUAGAGGCUGAACAGCACACAGAGAUGCAGAGCCAUCCUGUGAAUAUUUUGGUCUAAGCUGGGGUAAGUCCUUUUCUCAAGGUCCUGACCAGGUCCUUAGGAAUAUGCUGAGCUUAAAACCCUUCCCUUUAAGUUUUUGAAUCUCAAAGAAAAGUGUCCUUUGGAGAUGUUGGAUGAAAGUUGAACAUCGGUAGGUGAAACUCUUUGAGCACUUUGCAAACUACUGCAGCCAGACAGCUCUUUGCAUGAAUUCUGAACUGAAGAAUGUCAUUCAAAUUCUUCUGGGCCCAUUUUCUACCACUCCAAAAGGAAAUGCCCAGAGGAAGGGAAGCCUUGGGAAAACAGAAAUAUUAGGAGGAAGCUGUGAUUUCCAAAUGGCAAGACAGCCCCACCAUCAAUACUUGAAGUUGGUAAGAUAAAUGACGCACUGGAGAGAAUGAGGAUUUGAGGAGUUUAUUGCUUAUAUUUGCAUUGAAGAGACCAGAGUCAGAUAAAUGGAAAAGAGAAUAAUGCAAGACUUGUGGAUGUUGGAUUCAUAAAAAAGAAAGCAAAUGAAAGCUGGAGAUGCCUAAAAAAGACUUCUUAUAUGCCAUGAGAGAUAAGGGCUCCCCUUCUGACAUUAGCAUCUAUUAUCUUCCUGGCUGAAUUCUUCCCUAAAGGGCGCUCGGCAUCCCUAGGUGGUUGCCAGUGUCAAGGCAACCUCACCAACUGUGAAGGUAUCCUGAGCUCCUGGAACAGGCAGAAAAGAAACCUGGCAGGAAGAUUUGGAGGUGGCUGCAAGCUGGCCUGACUUCUGCAGUGAAACAAGUCCCAGGAGCUGGAGGUACACCAUGCUGAGCUCCUGUUUCCUUGAAAGAGAUUUAAACACAGAGACAGACACACACAGAGGAAAGAUGGUGUGAAGAUGCAGGGAAAAGAUGACCAUCUACAAGUCGAGGAAUGCCUGAAGCUGCCAGGAGGUAGGAGAGAGGCCUGGAACAGAGUCUUCUCCACAUCCCUCAGAGGAACCAACCCUGCUGACACCUUGAUUUCAGACUUCCAGCCUCUAGAACUGCGAGGCAACAAAUUUUUGUCAUAUAAGCCCCCUCUGCUCCCUUGUUUUUGGUACUUUGUUAAGGCAGUCCCAGAAAAUGAACACAAUGUAAUUCACCAUCUUAAUAAAGGAGAGAAAAACCAUA